UGUAGGAGUGAGCCUGCUCGCGAUGGCGUCGUGUCAGUCGAAAUAAUCAUUGGCUGAAUGACCGCCAUCGCGAGCAGGCUCACUCCUACA
rnacentral:antisense_RNA from 1 species